rnacentral:rRNA from 1 species
GAUGAACGCUGGCGGCGUGCCUAAUACAUGCAAGUCGAGCGAACAGACGAGGAGCUUGCUCCUCUGACGUUAGCGGCGGACGGGUGAGUAACACGUGGAUAACCUACCUAUAAGACUGGGAUAACUUCGGGAAACCGGAGCUAAUACCGUAUAAUAUAUUGAACCGCAUGGUUCAAUAGUGAAAGGCGGUUUUGCUGUCACUUAUAGAUGGAUCCGCGCCGCAUUAGCUAGUUGGUAAGGUAACGGCUUACCAAGGCAACGAUGCGUAGCCGACGUGAGAGGGUGAUCGGCCACACUGGAACUGAGACACGGUCCAGACUCCUACGGGAGGCAGCAGUAGGGAAUCUUCCGCAAUGGGCGAAAGCCUGACGGAGCAACGCCGCGUGAGUGAUGAAGGUCUUCGGAUCGUAAAACUCUGUUAUUAGGGAAGAACAAAUGUGUAAGUAACUAUGCACGUAUUGACGGUACCUAAUCAGAAAGCCACGGCUAACUACGUG